rnacentral:lncRNA from 1 species
UCUCUCUCAAAUAACAAAGUAGAAAAGCAAUCUGGCUUGAUCAGCAGAAGCCAGUGCCUGUCCCUAGGACCCAAGCCCCCAAGGGUAUCAGAAAAUGCCUUGUUUCUGUUGAGUGAAUGAACUGCAAAAGUGCUGUCAUCAGGCACACCCAGCAGCGAAGAUGAAAAGACGCCAGAGAAACAAAUGGACUUCUCCCAAUAUCUCUUGUGGUCUAAACAGACUCUUGCAAAUGCUGGGCGUCUGUGUGGAAAGCCCGCUUGGUACGGCACCAAAAACUGAAGAGCAUCCUAGGGGAGGAUGCAGGCCCCUUUACUGCACAAUACAAAUGCCUCUAUAAAGGACCAUGUGCAGUAGCCACUCCUCUGCAAGCCUGGCCUGCAUGGACAUAUACUGUAUUGUGAAGUUCCUAAAGGUGAUAAAGGUUGGCAUUGGACCUUCUGGAACUGUGCUUAUAGCUGUGUAUCUGAUGCCAAAGCUGGUUCUGGGGAUAACUAAGGACAAAAAAAAUCAUGGCCUCUUUUUCUCACAGGAGUCUGAGGUUUCAGUGUGAUUCACUCUGAGUCAGAACCACCUUCAGUAUUAUGGAUAUUAUAUUGUAAGUGAUUACAUGCUGUUUGAGUUCACUGAGAAGCUGAUUCUGGAAGUGGGAUUGCCCUCGGUUUCAGACCUAAUCGAGUUUGGUUCAUAGCGUUCCCUCAAAGUCCCUUGUCUGGGGAUGGGCUGCCCUCCUGCCCACUCUUAUCUAUGGCAGACAAGGAAGAGAACAGCAAACAGUCCUAAAGUAAAAUGCCGUGGCCUUGAGAAGAGGGAAGAAGGUUUACCGUCCGAACUAUUACUAUUACUAUUACUGUUACUAUUUGCUUACUCAUCCAUGAUACAAAUGCCUGCAGUGGGAAGGAGAAGCUGAAAAUCCAGUCCUGGGAAGCUCAGCUCAGCCACGGAAAGAAAGCUCAACUGGGAACUCCAACCACCUGCCUUAACUUCCCCACUCAGGAUCCAGGUGAUGCUGUGAAUGCUCAGCUUGAUGAUGUCAUAUUCUUGUAUUUGUUUCAUCAUUCACCUGACAGGACAUCUGCUCUGAGUAGGGCUUUCUUGAUUGGAAACUCCAGCUGGCUGCCUUAAAGGCAAUUGGUUUCUGUUGGGUGCUUUGAGCACCUAGUGUAAUAUCUCUCUCUCUCUCUCUCUCUCUCUCUCUCUCUCUCUCUCUCUCUCUCUCUCCCUCUCCCUCCCCCUCCCCCUCUCCCUAUCCCACCCUCCUCUCUUAUUUUGGCCUGCUAUUUACUUUAUAAACUCACUCCUGCAAUACCAAAAAUGCGGCUGUGGUAGAUUAUUCGUGCCAUUACACAGGACAAUUAGUUGUCUGCCCAUGUGGGGAAAGUUGCUCUGAGCUUUCUGUUUACUCGCUGUCCUCUUUGACCUUGACUUAUUUAGAAUUAAUCAUGAAAAAAAAAAAAAGAAAGUGUUAGUAUUGGGUUAAACUUGUUCCACGGACUUUUACUUUUUCAAGAGUAUGAUUUUUCUGAGUGAGUGUAGUUUUACAAAAUGCAGCGGAUGCCAAAGACUCAUUUCCUCCUAAAUGAUGGAACCCGCCAGCUGAACUCAGCAGGAGUGAAGGGAUGGGUGACCAGCCAGUUACAAACGUUUUCCAAAUAUUUUCUUCUGGGUAUGGUGACACAUACCUUUACUCCCAACACUUGUAGGAAGAGGCAGGCAGAUCUCUGUGAGUUUGAGGUCAGGGUGGGCAUCAUUGCAUAGUGAAAUCCUGUCUCAAAAACUUCUUUAAGAUUACACUAUAUAUUUUUCACUUUUAACUAUUCUGCACAUCAAGGAAAGAGAAAGUGAAAAUUUCUAUCUGUUAGCGGGCUUGCUGGCUCGCUAAUCACUUAUUGCCCGUGUGUCUUCUGGCAGCUCAACUAACCACACUGAGCUUCAGUUCCUUUUAUUGUGCAUGGGAAGAGAGGGAGCAGCUUGUACUGUCAAUUAAAGCUGGAUUGUCUGGCGGACUAAACAGAUAAACGUAUAGGAAGUUUUUAAAGAGUGCCUGAUGCACAGUAAAUAUGGAAAAGUGAUCUGUAUGAUAAUGAUAUUAUUGAUAUUAUAAUAGAGGAGGAAUUGCCCUAAAAUAGAAUUACAUGGAGUUGCGUUUGGUCUAAAGUCUCUAGCGGGACUCUAGAGUCUACUGAUUCCUGUUUUCUGAAAUAGCAGAAAGCACUGUGGACACUGGCUGUAGACAAUGCCUCUGCUUCUCCACAUGCUAGGGAGGCCCAGGACUGAAGAUGCCCUACGACACCAAAUGAGAGGCCACAGCAAGGAGAGGCUUACUAUGACACAGUCUAUUUGACCCCAAUUCUCCUAACUCCUCCAGAAACGUACCAAAG